GACCCUAAAAAGUCCUUUAAACACAAAGGUCUGGUCCUAGCCUUGAAGUCAGUUUUUACUUUACUUAUACAUGCAAGUCUCCGCACCCCUGUGAAAACGCCCUUAAACCCCUUUUAGGGAAAAGGAGCUGGUAUCAGGCACAACACUUAGCCCAAAACACCUAGCUACGCCACAUCCACAAGGGACCUCAGCAGUAAUUAACAUUGAACAUAAGCGCCAGCUUGAUUCAGUUAAAGUAAAAAGGGCAGGCAAAUUUGGUGCCAGCCGCCGCGGUUACACCAUGUGGCCCAAAUUGACUUCUUUCGGCGUAAAGAGUGAUUAAAGCACUUUUAUUCUGUAGUUUAACUAAAAUUAAGUCGUGAUAAGCUUGUAUUUAAGAAACCCAAAAACGAAAGUUACUACACCCAAAACAACUUGAACUCACAAUAGCUAAGGAACAAACUAGGAUUAGAGACCCUACUAUGCUUAGCCACAAACUUUUAAUUACACCCCAAACGCCCGGGAACUACGAGCAAAGCUUAAAACCCAAAGGACUUGACGGUACCCCAUAUCCCCCUAGAGGAGCCUGUCCUAUAAUCGAUAAUCCCCGUUUAACCUCACCACUUUUAGCCUUUCAGUCUGUAUACCUCCGUCGUCAGCUUACCACAUGAGUGAAAUAUAGUAAGUUUAAUGUCCUAUCAUACGUCAAUACGUCAGGUCAAGGUGCAGCUAAUAAAGUGGGAAGAGAUGGGCUACACUCUCUAAUUUAGAAUACACGAAAGACUACUAUGAAAACUAGUCUAAAGGUGGAUUUAGUAGUAAAAAAAGACCAAAGUGCUUUUUUUAACUAGGCCCUGGGGGUGUGUACACACCGCCCGUCACCCUCUUCGCAGCCAUAAUUUAGUAAUUAACAAAAUUUGCACCGUAGAAGAGGUAAGUCGUAACAUGGUAAGUAUACCGGAAGGUGUGCUUGGAAA
rnacentral:ncRNA from 1 species